GUUUUGUUGAAACUUUCCUAUGUCAUUUUCAAGUGAGAUUUUUAUUUGUUUUUAGGUAGCUGUAUUGAUGUGUAAUGAAUGGUGGUUGCAGCCGCUGAAUAUAGCUGGAACAGAACAUGCUGGAAUUUUAGCAUCAGAACAUCUGGCUGGUUGGAUGAUUAAACAUCCCUCUGUGUGGACACAAACAUUGUGUCUAUUUUUCAUCUGUAGAUUAUUUGUGGGAUAAUAACUUUGUCACCAAUAUUGUGACUUUGAAAACUAGCAGUUGAACAGCCUUUCACUUCCAAAUAUAAAGGCAUAAGUAAAUUGCUAUGUUUUAUUACAGGCUGACCAGAAUUACAAACACAUUGUCGCAGCAGUCUUUCAGUGCUCAGAUUAAUUUGGCUUAGCAUAACAUUACUUCGGAAGCACAGCACUUCACAUAAACGAGAAAGUUGUAUCAAACAUCAAAGGAUUUGCGCUCAAACUGAAAGU